rnacentral:rRNA from 1 species
UACCAGACUCCUACGGGAGGCAGCAGUGGGGGAUAUUGCACAAUGGGGGGAACCCUGAUGCAGCGACGCCGCGUGGGUGAAGGAGCGUUUCGGCGCGUAAAGCCCUAUCGGCAGGGAAGAAGGAGGACGGUACCUGACUAAGAAGCCCCGGCUAACUACGGGCCAGCAGCCGCGGUAAUACGUAGGGGGCAAGCGUUAUCCGGAUUUACUGGGUGUAAAGGGGGCGCAGGCGGCGUGUCAAGUCAGCGGUAAAAUGUCGGGGCUCAACCCCGGCCGGCCGUUGAAACUGGCGUGCUCGAGUUGGAGAGAAGUAUGCGGAAUUCGUGGUGUAGCGGUGAAAUGCAUAGAUAUCACGAAGAACCCCGAUUGCGAAGGCAGCAUACCGGCUCCACACUGACGCUGAGGCACGAAAGCGUGGGUAUCGAACAGGAUUAGAUACCCCAGUAC